rnacentral:rRNA from 1 species
CUAGCCCUAAACGGUGCACGUUUGCUGUGAGAGGAAUCGACCCCUUUCGUGGCGAAGCUAACGCGUUAAACGUGCCGCCUGGGGAGUACGGUCGCAAGAUUAAAACUCAAAGAAAUUGACGGGGGCCUGCACAAGCGGUGGAGUAUGUGGCUUAAUUCGAUGCAACGCGAAGAACCUUACCUGGCCUUGACAUGUAGGUAGUAAAAGCCUGAAAGGGUGAUGACCCCGCAAGGGGAGCCUACACAGGUGCUGCAUGGCUGUCGUCAGCUCGUGUCGUGAGAUGUUGGGUUAAUUCCC